CCUGACGACCACAGCGGGCGGGAACCACCUGAUCCCAUGCCGAACUCAGAAGUGAAACCGCCCAGCGCCGAUGGUAGUGUGGGAGAUCCCAUGUGAGAGUAGGUCAUCGUCAGGC
rnacentral:rRNA from 4 species